rnacentral:misc_RNA from 1 species
GCUUGUGGCCUCGCUACCCACUACUCAUUAAAUGCGAGACUUGCUUUAAUUGAGGAACGCCUUGGUAGAUUAAUCACAGAUGAUCGUACUGUAAUAGAGACUUCUCUUGCGCAGUAUGGUGAUCUUGUCUAUCCAGAUAAGACGAGCGUCCUUCAUAAGAUUGAGACAAUUGAUAAAUGUUUUAGUCAUGAUACAGUAGAGGAAAUUAUUGAUGCACUGGAAAAUGAGGCAUCUAGUUCUUAUGAGAACUGGUGUAAAGAAGCACUCAGAAAAAUGAAAGAAGCCUCCCCGCUAAGCUUAAAAGUUGCCUUGCGAUCCAUACGAGAAGGUAGAUUUCAAUCGCUGGAUCAAUGUUUAGCUCAUGAAUAUCGAGUAUCCCUCACUGGAAUCUCCAAAACAGUCUCUACUGACUUGUUUGAGGGUAUUCGGGCGCGAUUAUUGGAUAAGGAUUUUGCUCCAAAGUGGAACCCUCCAAGUUUAGGUGAAGUAAGUGAAGACAUGGUAGAUUGCCAUUUCUCCCCUCUUGGUGAGCUUGAACCGGAGCUGGAGCUGCCCACAGCAAUACGAGAACCUUAUAUCUGAGUUAGAUCAAUCUAGAGAGGAUAAUAGCAAAUGCUAGGUUCACAAAUGACAAUACUAGUUUUUGCUCCCUGUGAUGCAGGAUGAGUGGUAAUUGACCCAUUGAAACGUUUUCCAGAGAAUUGUUUCCCAGCAUAAUGUGUUGUAAUAGCCAG